rnacentral:piRNA from 1 species
UCCAAAGGCAGAGCAGCAGUACGGGCUA